GGGUUGUGAGGUUAAGCGACUAAGCGUACACGGUGGAUGCCCUGGCAGUCAGAGGCGAUGAAGGGCGUGCUAAUCUGCGAUAAGCGCCGGUAAGGUGAUAUGAACCGUUAUAACCGGCGAUACCCGAAUGGGGAAACCCAGUGUGACUCGUCACACUAUCAUUAACUGAAUCCAUAGGUUAAUGAGGCGAACCGGGGGAACUGAAACAUCUAAGUACCCCGAGGAAAAGAAAUCAACCGAGAUUCCCCCAGUAGCGGCGAGCGAACGGGGAGGAGCCCAGAGCCUGAAUCAGCAUGUGUGUUAGUGGAAGCGUCUGGAAAGGCGCGCGAUACAGGGUGACAGCCCCGUACACAAAAGCGCAUGUGCUGUGAGCUCGAUGAGUAGGGCGGGACACGUGGUAUCCUGUCUGAAUAUGGGGGGACCAUCCUCCAAGGCUAAAUACUCCUGACUGACCGAUAGUGAACCAGUACCGUGAGGGAAAGGCGAAAAGAACCCCGGCGAGGGGAGUGAAAAAGAACCUGAAACCGUGUACGUACAAGCAGUGGGAGCACCCUUUGGGGUGUGACUGCGUACCUUUUGUAUAAUGGGUCAGCGACUUAUAUUCUGUAGCAAGGUUAACCGAAUAGGGGAGCCGCAGGGAAACCGAGUCUUAACCGGGCGUUAAGUUGCAGGGUAUAGACCCGAAACCCGGUGAUCUAGCCAUGGGCAGGUUGAAGGUUGGGUAACACUAACUGGAGGACCGAACCGACUAAUGUUGAAAAAUUAGCGGAUGACCUGUGGCUGGGGGUGAAAGGCCAAUCAAACCGGGAGAUAGCUGGUUCUCCCCGAAAGCUAUUUAGGUAGCGCCUCGUGAAUUCAUCUCCGGGGGUAGAGCACUGUUUCGGCUAGGGGGCCAUCCCGGCUUACCAACCCGAUGCAAACUGCGAAUACCGGAGAAUGUUAUCACGGGAGACACACGGCGGGUGCUAACGUCCGUCGUGAAGAGGGAAACAACCCAGACCGCCAGCUAAGGUCCCAAAGUCAUGGUUAAGUGGGAAACGAUGUGGGAAGGCCCAGACAGCCAGGAUGUUGGCUUAGAAGCAGCCAUCAUUUAAAGAAAGCGUAAUAGCUCACUGGUCGAGUCGGCCUGCGCGGAAGAUGUAACGGGGCUAAACCAUGCACCGAAGCUGCGGCAGCGACACUCAGGUGUUGUUGGGUAGGGGAGCGUUCUGUAAGCCUGUGAAGGUGGCCUGUGAGGGUGGCUGGAGGUAUCAGAAGUGCGAAUGCUGACAUAAGUAACGAUAAAGCGGGUGAAAAGCCCGCUCGCCGGAAGACCAAGGGUUCCUGUCCAACGUUAAUCGGGGCAGGGUGAGUCGACCCCUAAGGCGAGGCCGAAAGGCGUAGUCGAUGGGAAACGGGUUAAUAUUCCCGUACUUGGUGUUACUGCGAAGG
rnacentral:rRNA from 1 species